CGAGGACUUGAAAGAAAUUCAAUGUGACACAUUUCGACUUGUGACCCGAGUUCUCCGAGCGGCGUCAACACGCGUCUCGAUGCUCGCAAUUUGGCGCUGUCGCUGCUUUACAAAAAAGAUACCGCUCGGGCCGUGCAGGUUUUGAGCGUGCAGGAACAACUGAUCAGCAAAGCCGAAGACCCCACUGAACGAGCGGAAGAGCUGAUUCGGUUUGCGGGCAUCGCGACGCGUAUUGACGUCGAGCGAGGCUAUGACGCGGCGCGGCAAGCGGUUGAUGCCCUCAACCGAUCCAGCAUUGGCCCACAAUGGGUGAAGCUGGAAAACGUAACCGACGCGGCCGGUCGAACGACAUCGAGGAGGCACGUGGGCUUGCAGGUGUUGGCGAGUUUCCUCUUCGACAACACCUUUUCGGAACUCGCGCGUUAUGAUUUCGACCGCGCGCUGCGGUUGGCUCAAGCAUUAGAGAUGAAAGAGGCGGCAGCCUUUGCGCAGCUCGGGCUCUGCCGAGGUGUGCUUAAGUGACGGUGACGGCGCUCUUCGUUGUUCAUCUCUACCAGAUCAUGCUUCUGACCCAGAGCACAACAAAGAACCCGUAGAACACUGCCAUCCCGAUCAGAGCUGCGCGCCUCCACCACGAAGGCCGAAGCGCCUUUGGCAAGAGCGUCGUGUUUACAUAAAGAAUGUGGAUCGACGCGAUGAUAAACACUAUCCCCGCCAUGUUAGCGCCAAGUUGCAGCAACACGAUGGGCUGCGCCAGACGCAACGCAAUGACUCCCCAGACCACCGCCACCGCAAGCACGCUGUAGUAAACAACUCUCACAUCGCCGCCGCGCCAUUCUCGCAGGCGUUUGUUGCUGGUCCAGAGGAUGUCCGUGAUCGCGCGGUCAUACCCUCGAGGAUAUCGAGUUGCGUCUUCAGCAGAAUCCACGCUCCCAUGAAAGCCACCGCACCUCCCGCAAGCGCCCCGACCUUGCCCGCCAUCGCGUGCGCAAGCGCUGCUCCGAUUCCUAUCCCCCGGAUCUCGCUUCCGCGCGGCAGGAAGGUGACGUACAACAACGCGGGAAGGACCAUUCCAAGCAUCGAGCCUACGAAAAACACUGCCCACUGGUCCGCUUUGAUGAUUCGCCACCAGCCGCGCCACCGCCCGAGCGAGUCUUCCGUCGGCUGGAACGUCGUACCCGUGUGCGCGAGGUUUACCUUAUGACCGCCUACCAGUGCGGGAAUGUAGCCGGUGAUCUGGCUCAUCCCGUACCCUUUGUCGCGAGCCCAGUUUGUGAGAGUGAUGUUGCCCACCCCGCCGCAGCCGGAGUAAGCAGCCAGCGCGCCCAGCAGGAAAUAGUCGGCGCCUGCCGGGAGAAAGCUAAAACCACCGGUUGUCGUAUCGUAACCAACAACUCCGGCGCCGGCAGCGAGCCACGUCGCCGAAUCCGUAUACAUCAAAGCCAACACCAGGAACGAGCCAAGGAUAACAACGAUCAAUAUCCAGUUGAGCAGUUCCAGUGUUCGUUCGAUCCGUCGUCCGAUCAGCAGAACGAGGACGCAAAAGACGAAUGUUCCGGCGCCGAUCGCAUAAACAACGUUGCCAUCGGUUGGAUCGGGCAGCCUCUGCGUCGAGAGCAGGAAUAUGGCCGCUGCGGCAUUCCCGGCCCAGGCGGGCCAACCCAUCUGCAGAAAGUACAGCACUACAUAAAACCAGGCCCAGAAGCUGGAGUUUGGUCUGGUGCGCAUGAAUCCGGUGAUCGCCGGCUCACCGGUAGCGAGCGUAUAUCGCAUCAGUUCGAAGUUAAAGAUGGUCUGGAGGAACACAGCGAUGGUGGUGAUCCACAACAGCGCAAACCCGUAGUUGACGAACGCGGCCGGCCCGAGCAGAAACUCUCCGCUGCCGAUGGACAUGCCCAGCACGAUCACCCCCGGGCCAACCACGCCAAGCCAACCAAGCCCCCUGGGCAUUGGAGGCGCGGGCAAUUCAGCCUGCUUCCACGGGUCUAAACCCGAUCGCGCUUCGCGAGCCUCGAUUGCACGUUGUUCAACCAUAGCGAUUCAAUCAACCCGGUCGGGUUGCCGCGCGCGAAUGCGCGGCGCGCUAGCCAACGAGUUCGCUCCAUCUGCCUUCUCGUAAUUCUUCGGGCGAGAUUGCAGUGACAUAGGUUUCCUGUUUAAAAGGCGUAAAGCCGCGUCGACGAUAAUUGGGCAUCGCAGCCUUGUCAUCCAGCGUGCACGUGUGCAGCCAAACUCGAUUAGCACCAUCGCUCCAGGCUUGCUCAGCCGCGACGGUCAGAAGGUGUUUGCCUAAGCCGCGGCCAAGAAACUCCUGGAUCAGACCGAAGUAGGCGAUCUCGAUUGAGCCGUCGGGGUAACGCUCGAGUUCGAAGUAUCCAGCGGGCGCGCCUUCGCUGUACAUCACCCAGAGUGUUAUUUCGGGACGCGCGAGAUGAGAGCGAAUUUGGUCGUCUGUCCACGGGAGCCGAUCGGUCCAGUGAUAGAACCGGCCUACCUCGCUGUAGAGAUAGCGAUAAAACGACGCGGGACACUCGGCCACGCGUUCAAUUCGGACCCGCGAAUCAUCUACGCGAGCCGGAUUGAGGUCUUCGGGAUAUGCGAGAUGAAGAUAGGUGCGAGUGACUUCGACGUUCAUGGCCGUUCAGAAUAUAAACACAAAGACACCAAGCCACAAAGCAAAAGAGCUCUUCAGCACCCUCCUGGCGAAGUGCACGGCGCGGAUUCCGAAUUUACCCAAAUUACUCCGCGCGCAGCGACGGUAGCAACGGCAUCCGCAACGCCGCCACCGUUGCAGCCACCGAAGCCAACAGCCCGAUCACUAACACAACCACUAACAAUCCCAAUGAGAGCGCGGGGACGUGGCCGCCCCGUGAAAAGAAGGCCGGGCCGAUGGCUACAAGCGCCGAUACUGCUCCCGUCACCAACCCACUGAACACAAGAAAAGCAUUCUCGGUAAUCACCAUGAACG
rnacentral:misc_RNA from 1 species